rnacentral:rRNA from 1 species
GGGUGAGUAAUAUAUCGGAACGUGCCCAAUCGUGGGGGAUAACGCAGCGAAAGCUGUGCUAAUACCGCAUACGAUCUACGGAUGAAAGCGGGGGACUCGCAAGAGCCUCGCGCGAAUGGAGCGGCCGAUAUCAGAUUAGCUAGUUGGCGGGGUAAAAGCCCACCAAGGCGACGAUCUGUAGCUGGUCUGAGAGGACGACCAGCCACACUGGAACUGAGACACGGUCCAGACUCCUACGGGAGGCAGCAGUGGGGAAUUUUGGACAAUGGGCGCAAGCCUGAUCCAGCAAUGCCGCGUGCAGGAUGAAGGCCUUCGGGUUGUAAACUGCUUUUGUACGGAACGAAACGGUUCUCUUUAAUAAAGGGGGCUAAUGACGGUACCGUAAGAAUAAGCACCGGCUAACUACGUGCCAGCAGCCGCGGUAAUACGUAGGGUGCGAGCGUUAAUCGGAAUUACUGGGCGUAAAGCGUGCGCAGGCGGUGAUGUAAGACAGAUGUGAAAUCCCCGGGCUCAACCUGGGACCUGCAUUUGUGACUGCAUCGCUAGAGUACGGUAGAGGGGGAUGGAAUUCCGCGUGUAGCAGUGAAAUGCGUAGAUAUGCGGAGGAACACCGAUGGCGAAGGCAAUCCCCUGGACCUGUACUGACGC